rnacentral:rRNA from 1 species
ACGAACGCUGGCGGCGUGGAUAAGACAUGCAAGUCGAACGGGAGAAUUGCUAGCUUGCUAAUAAUUCUCUAGUGGCGCACGGGUGAGUAACACGUGAGUAACCUGCCUCUUAGUGGGGGAUAGCCCUGGGAAACCGGGAUUAAUACCGCAUACGAUUGAAAGAUCAAAGCAGCAAUGCGCUAGGAGAUGGGCUCGCGGCCUAUUAGUUAGUUGGUGAGGUAACGGCUCACCAAGGCGAUGACGGGUAGCCGGUCUGAGAGGAUGUCCGGCCACACUGGAACUGAGACACGGUCCAGACACCUACGGGUGGCAGCAGUCGAGAAUCAUUCACAAUGGGGGCAACCCUGAUGGUGCGACGCCGCGUGGGGGAAUGAAGGUCUUCGGAUUGUAAACCCCUGUCAUGUGGGAGCAAAUUAAAAAGAUAGUACCACAAGAGGAAGAGACGGCUAACUCUGUGCCAGCAGCCGCGGUAAUACAGAGGUCUCAAGCGUUGUUCGGAAUCACUGGGCGUAAAGCGUGCGUAGGCUGUUUCGUAAGUCGUGUGUGAAAGGCAGGGGCUCAACCCCUGGAUUGCACAUGAUACUGCGAGACUAGAGUAAUGGAGGGGGAACCGGAAUUCUCGGUGUAGCAGUGAAAUGCGUAGAUAUCGAGAGGAACACUCGUGGCGAAGGCGGGUUUCUGGACAUUAACUGACGCUGAGGCACGAAGGCCAGGGGAGCGAAAGGGAUUAGAUACCCCUGUAGUCCUGGCAGUAAACGGUGCACGCUUGGUGUGCGGGGAAUCGACCCCCUGCGUGCCGGAGCUAACGCGUUAAGCGUGCCGCCUGGGGAGUACGGUCGCAAGAUUAAAACUCAAAGAAAUUGACGGGGACCCGCACAAGCGGUGGAGUAUGUGGCUUAAUUCGAUGCAACGCGAAGAACCUUACCUGGGCUUGACAUGUAAUGAACAACAUGUGAAAGCAUGCGACUCUUCGGAGGCGUUACACAGGUGCUGCAUGGCCGUCGUCAGCUCGUGUCGUGAGAUGUUUGGUUAAGUCCAGCAACGAGCGCAACCCCUGUUGCCAGUUACCAGCACGUCAAGGUGGGGACUCUGGCGAGACUGCCCAGAUCAACUGGGAGGAAGGUGGGGACGACGUCAGGUCAGUAUGGCCCUUAUGCCCAGGGCUGCACACGUACUACAAUGCCCAGUACAGAGGGGGCCGAAGCCGCGAGGCGGAGGAAAUCCUGAAAACUGGGCCCAGUUCGGACUGUAGGCUGCAACCCGCCUACACGAAGCCGGAAUCGCUAGUAAUGGCGCAUCAGCUACGGCGCCGUGAAUACGUUCCCGGGUCUUGUACACACCGCCCGUCACAUCAUGGAAGCCGGUCGCACCCGAAGUAUCUGAAGCCAACCGCAAGGAGGCAGGGUCCUAAGGUGAGACUGGUAACUGGGAUG